GGCGGCGCCGCGCCGCGCCUCGCGGUGGGAAGUACUGUAGCGGCUGCGGCCGCGCCGGCGAGAUGGGCCUGCGUCCUCCCUGAGAGGCGGGCUGCAACAGGUGAAGCCCUUUCCGCCCUGGAGCAGGAGCCCCGAUGCGUGCUUAUAACAGGGUCUUGAGCUACACGAGUGAGGCGCGCUCCAGGAUGUGUUGGUGUUGAGUUUUGUGGGGAGUUUCAUUUUCCUUCUAUUAGCGGUGGUACGCUAAAGGCCGUCAUCCCGGUGCCAGCAGCCGGUUGGCUCUGCAGAUGUCAGGGCUUGGAAGCGCUACGGGAGAGCCCAGGCUCGGGGCAGGGCGGCACGGACCCGCAAUGUGUCAUUUGGACGCGAUGAAGGCACCGUGUUUGCCCAGGCAUGCUUUAUAAAUGUUCCGCUGGAUUUAUAAAUUUAACUCCAACAGAAUUUUGGAAGUGUUAGGGAGUCCGAAUGCUGCAGACUGGAGAGGAGCUUGUAGUACUUUCUUUUACUAUUAAUAUGGCUUUCAUCUCAGCAUUUCAGAAAGAAGAGAUAUUAAAUAUGUAGACAGUAGGAAAAUGGAAAAAAAUGAACUUCAUGAUUGCAUGUGUGUGAAAGAAGAGGAAAAUUAUUUUUCACUCCAUCACUUAUUCAUAAGUAACAACUGUUCGCAUGUCAAAGCAAUUUUUCUUCUCUGUUCUACCACUAUUUCUGUUUUAAAUAAGCAUCUAGCAAGUCAGUAAAAAUACUCUUCCAAAUUGGGUAAUGGCUGUUCUUUACCAGGUCUUAGCCACCUGCUGCAAUAAAAAUAACACUAAUGCCACUGGAAGAAUUCUUCAUGUCAAUAGUCAAGAAACUUUGCAAUAAAAACCAAGAAGAGUGAGAAGAGUGACAAAGAACAACAAAUCAUCCAUAAUAAGCAGAUUAACCUAUAUGUCAGUUAUCUCAACUUAGUCUUUCUUCUUUACAUAUCUGGGCAGAAAUUUUUAAAUUCACUAAAGAAAUCCCAGAGAAAAGCAGGUGGAAGAGCUCACAGAUCCACCUCUUUGAUCUGUCUACCCCUCCUCAGGAGUAGCUACUUCCUGUUGAGUCUGUGUAUAAUAACAGACACACAGAAUGCUGGUGAAUCUUUUUAGUUUCUGGGCUAGUGAGCAGAAGGAAGAGGCACCUUUGCUCUUGUCAUGCCACCACAGGCACCAAAUGUGCUCCACUUUUGGCUGCAGCUGCACUGGUGUAGCACUUGAAUAACUUGCAAAUUUUCAUCUGAAGUGGAACUUUUGUACUGUGAGGUUUGCCCCAAGUUCCCUCCACUUUCUGAAACCAAGUGGGAAGAUGUGUUUACUCCAGAGAAGAAAUCAGGAAGUGUUAAAGACAUAUCUAAGCUUUCUUUCAGUGGAUAUUCUCGAGGGAAGACCUUACGGAGCUGAGCAUUUCUUGUUUCCAUGUCACCGUUUUGGGAAGUUUCUAUUCCAGAGCUACGCCGAGAAGAAGGAAUGGCUGCAAAACAGCAAGCUUAACUUGGCUAACUUCCUGCAUGUAAUCAAAGGCUAUUCUGUGAGCUGCUUGGAAAAACACCUUUGGCCACUAUGCAGAAAUUCCUUCCUAAUAAUCUUUUCAGAGCAUUAGGCCGGUUGUAGUCAGUUUUGCUCAUUACAGUAAAGUAUAAAAGGCUUGAGCAUUCCACCAGUUGUUCUAAUCUAAAAGGAAGGUCACAUACACCUGCACAGUUGUCUUUGUAUGAAACACACCAAGGUCUAAAUGUUUAAAAACAAUGGCAGGCAACAUAAUGCUGGCCAACAUAAGUCAUCCCAGUGGUUAAGUCUUGUCAGGAAAGAAGAGACUGGGCAUUCCUGCAUUGACGCUGGACAAGGGUCUGGAUUCAUGCACUGCAUAAAAGAUUUCUAAACUCUCAGAGGGUAGGGGGUCAAAGACAGAGAAGGAGACUUGGGAAUGGAGGCUGGAGGGUUCUUGGAGCUAAAGCUAUGAGGAAAAAAAAGCAGGAAAAAUUGAGGAUACAGGACUAAAAUAAUCAAAACAAGAAAGAAUGAUAGACCUCCUGAAACAACUGGAUUUACAAUGCUAAACCGAAUCUUUUUAAACUUGUUUCUGUGUGCCUUUUUAUAUAACAAGAGGUUUCAUUUCUUGGAAGAAGGCUAUAGGUUUUUCAGAUAACAAAUGUAUUCUAACAUCAUGUGAAAGCUUAAAAAAACCUACUGUAUGUAAAGGUUAUCAUGCUUUGCAGUGUAGUGAAACUGGGAAUUUAAAUGCAGGAAAAGCAGACAGAAGUAUGAGUGUUGAUGAAAUUACCAUUUUAAGAUUGGCUGGUGAAGAAAGUAGUAUAGUUGGUCACUGUACUCAGUUUUACAAUUCUACUGUUUUAUAGUUUUACUGUUUCAUAAAACAGUUUCUUGCAUUAUGUUCAGAGGCUAUUUUUAAUUUAAGACCUAAAAAAAGAACUUCUGUGUUUUGCUAGCCUUUUAUAUCAAAUACUUUAGGAUAAAUAUUGCUAGCUCUUUAGAGUUUCUUUGUUGAAGUGGAAAUAAACUGGCAGCACCAAAUGAGCCCUUUCAAAGAGCAACUUUUAUUUUAAUUAAAUUCCAUGUUGAUUCUACAGCUGGAGUUAGAGACUAACUAGAAUCUAAAAGCAUUUAGAAAAAUCUACUUUAAAUACUAAGCAUACUUUGCCCAUUUUCUAGAAUAGUCAAAAGAAACAAACAUCUAAAACUGGGCUAAAUCCUCUUGACAUUAAUUUCUGUAUACUCUGCUUUUCUGUAGCUCAAUACUUAAUGUAUGAAGUCAUUCUCAGAUGGACUGAAGAGGAAGGCAUUGUUUGUGCCAUAGUCCCAGAGCUGUCUGAAUUAAUGCUGCUCUGUAUUUCCUCUAGGACUGAGCACAUUCAGUUUACAUUUAUUGAAAAUAGAUCCUGGGAAUGAAUUAUUUGUUCCUUAUAUGGAGCCUUGUGUUGAGAUACCUGUUGAGACAAUUUAGCUCGCUACUAAGUCACUAGGGAUAAAAGCACCACUGUUACAAGCAAAAUAACAAUGUGCAAGAAACUUCUUAAAAUUAAAUGUGUUACAGUCAUUUAGAUGGUUCAGAAUAUUGAGGUCUUGGAAGACUGGAGGAAUAAGAGUGGCUCCCCUUUCUUCAGACUUAGUAUUUGCAUAAAGUCAAAAAGAGAAAGUCUUGCCUCAGAGGGAGCUCUAGAUUUAGUGUCUCUCUGGGUUUGUUGUGACCUUAUUUAGAUCUGAGUUGCAAAAUUUAUGAAUACUCAAAGUAAAAGCAGUAUAUUACCCUCACGAGUCUUUGUAAAUGCUAUUUUAAAAGUAUUAUCUUUUCCUAAUAUUAAAACAAAAGAAUUUUAU
ensembl:lncRNA